UACAUGUGGGGCGAGCGUUGUUCGGAAUUACUGGGCAUAAAGGGUGCGUAGGCGGCAUGAUACGUCCUGGGUGAAACCCUGUGGCCCAACCACGGGACUGCCUGAGAUACGGUCAAGCUGGAGUGCGUGAGGGGUGACUGGAACGCGUGGUGUAGCGGUGAAAUGCGUAGAUAUCACGCGGAAGGCCAACGGCGAAGGCAGGUCACUGGCACGCAACUGACGCUGAGUGCACGAAAGCGUGGGGAGCAAACAGG
rnacentral:rRNA from 1 species